GACGAACGCUGGCGGCGUGCUUAACACAUGCAAGUCGAACGGAAAGGCCCCUUUGGGGGUCCUCGAGUGGCGAACGGGUGAGUAACACGUGAGUAACCUGCCCUUGACUUCGGGAUAACUUCAGGAAACUGGGGCUAAUACCGGAUAGGAAUCCUUGCUGCAUGGUGGGGGUUGGAAAGCUUCGGCGGUUUUGGAUGGACUCGCGGCCUAUCAGCUUGUUGGUGGGGUAGUGGCUUACCAAGGCUUUGACGGGUAGCCGGCCUGAGAGGGAGACCGGCCACAGUGGGACUGGGAUACGGCCAAGGCCCCGACGGGGGGGAGAGGUAGGAGAGAUUGAAAAAGGGGCGGGAGCCUGAUGCAGAAACGCCGCGGGCGGGAUGACGGCGUUCGGGUUGUAAACCGCUUUCAGCAGGGGCGAAGCUUGUGGUGACGGUACCUGAAGAAGAAGCACCGGCUAACUACGUG
rnacentral:rRNA from 1 species